GACGAACGCUGGCGGCGUGCUUAACACAUGCAAGUCGAACGAUGAACCCGGAGCUUGCUCCGGUGGAUUAGUGGCGAACGGGUGGGUAACACGUGAGUAACCUGCCCUUGACUCUGGGAUAACUGCGGGAAACUGUAGCUAAUACCGGAUACGACCCUCGGCGGCAUCGCCAGGGGGUGGAAAGAAUUUCGGUCAAGGAUGGACUCGCGGCCCAUCAGCUAGUUGGUGAGGUAACGGCUCACCAAGGCGACGACGGGUAGCCGGCCUGAGAGGGUGACCGGCCACACUGGGACUGAGACACGGCCCAGACUCCUACGGGAGGCGGCAGUGGGGAAUAUUGCACAAUGGGCGCAAGCCUGAUGCAGCAACGCCGCGUGAGGGAUGACGGCCUUCGGGUUGUAAACCUCUUUUAGUAGGGAAGAAGCGAAAGUGACGGUACCUGCAGAAAAAGCACCGGCUAACUACGUGCCAGCCGCCGCGGUAA
rnacentral:rRNA from 1 species